rnacentral:misc_RNA from 1 species
AAACUGCGAUAAGUAGCGUGAAUUGCAGACGCUUUGAACGUUAAACUUUCGAACGCACAUUGCGCCGUAGGAGUCCUACCCUACGGCACAUCUGGUUGAGGGUCGUGAUCGUAAACAGCAGGAAUUUGGCUGUAAUAGAAAUAGCUGGUGAAUCACGGGUUCGGCCUACCUGCCUCUGGUCGAACGUGUUUUGCCAUCAUGCUAUAGAGGACAAUCCCUAGCAAGGGGUUGCCUACCACACGGAUGAUCUAUCGACGGAUGAGAUAGGUCCCGGUCCUAGGGUAUCAUACUUCCUUAGGGAAAAUACUCUAGUGGCGUCUGGGAUACCGUCGGUACGCUUCAUACGUGCUUGGUGUAGAGAGUUUUCGCUCUCCCGACCUCAACUCAGGUGUGAUUACCC